GAACAUGGAGUCUGAUGUUUCAGGGAAGGAAGCAUCCAGCAUGGGAGAAAGAUGUAGGCUGGGAGGCUAGGCCAGUCUUUCUUUUCACGUAUUUCCGCCUGCUUAUAUUCUAGCUGCCCUGGCAGCUGAUAGAUUGUGCCCAUCCAGCUUAAGAGUGGGUCUGCCUUUCCCAGCCCACUGACUCAAAUGUUAAUCUCCUUUGGCAACACCCUCACAGACACACCCAGGAUCAAUACUUUGUAUCCCUCCAUCCAAUCAAAUUGACAUUCAGUAUUAACUAUCACAGAAGGCAUACUAUGUUCUGAGCUUUCUUAUCUGUACUGUAAAAAAAAAAAAUACAGCAGUGAAUGAAACCAACAAAAAUACCUUUGUGGACUUUAUAUUCCAGGUGGGAGUGAAAGACAAGAAAAAAAAUUUAUAUAUUUUAUAUAUAUGUAAUAUAUAUUUAUAUAUCUAUAUUUAAAAAUAUAUAUGGGGAAGAUUUUGUGAUAAAUACUAUGAAGAAAAGUGUGUUAGAGAAGAGGUUAACGAAUGUGUGUGUGGUGGGUGGUGGAAUUUUAAGUGGUGUUAGGAAAGACCUCAUUCAGAAGGUAGCAUGCGAGUAAACAUGAAGGAGGUACAAAAAGUUCUCCUGCCAUCAUAGAGGGAUGGUAAGGUGCUGGUGGCUGGAGUGAAGAAGCAAAGUGGAGAAUAAGGGAAAAAGUUGGAGAUGAAACAUAAGGGGACUUGUAGCUCUAUUUAUCUUACUAGUGGCUUUGCUUUAUUAAACAAAGACCUUUAAACAGAUGUUAACAAGAUAACUCUGACUCCUAAUUUGGAGAUGACUUUAGGGAAAUAAGGGAAGAAACAGAGAGACAAAUGAGAAGCAGAAGAAUUCUUUUCCUCAGGGUCUUUCUCAUUGUUGUUCUCACUACGAUCAUCCUUUGGACAGACGGUACUCUUUUUAACUCAAUGUGAUCUAAAUGUGGGUUUAAAAAAAAUCCUUUUCUUUGUUUAACAACUGAGACAAAGCAGGAAUUUUAAAGCAACACUUUACUGACAAACUAUGUAGAAUCAAAAUAACAUGAAACUAGAUAAUUUGUCCUAUAAUAGGAGAUAUUUUAUUCAAAUGAAGUCCCCUAGGAGAAACUCUUCUUCUAACUCCCUCUUCACACUGGACAGCAGAGGCCAUAUUUAACCUUCCCACAAGAGAGGGCUCUACAAGACAUAGUCAUUGCUCAAGAGAUUGAGAAUCAAGACAGAGAAGUUUAGUCUCCUCCUGUGCUUACUUAAGGCUCACCUCCUUAACUCUGAUUUCCUCUCCGGGAAAUCCCUAUUGCUCUGGUGAUUGUAUACUGGGAUUUAUACAACGUUUAGGGAAGUGUAACCUACUCAAAAUAUCCAAAUAUAGCAGCAUAAUUCUAAUACUCUAAUAAGAGGCACAUCGACAUAUUUUUGAGGAUGGGGAAAGAUAAUUAAAUAACAGUAUGAGUCAUAUUAUGAUCUCAAUAAAUAUUAGUUACCUUGUCUUCCUCUCAGAGUGACUUUCACCACCCUCUGUAACUCAUCUAGCCUUAUCUAAUGGGAGGCCUUUUUUUUUUUUUGGAUGGCAUGACUACAUAAUAUCAAGCUAUUUUUUAUGUUAUUUGCCCUGUCUUAAAUAUCUUCCCCUUACCUCCUUCUCAUACAAGCCUUAAAGCUCUUCCAUAGGUCUUUUACCUAAUUGAACUCAACACUGAUGUCUUCUCUUUGCUGUACAUUUGUAUGUCUAGACCAAUCAUUUUUCAUAUAAUAUGAAACUUUUGGAUAUAAAAAUAUUAACUUCUUAAAAGAUAGUAACCCUGAUUUGCUCUUUAUACUUUAACUCCUUUUGUUUCUUUGUUUUUAAAUCCACUGUGCAAAGCUGUUUAUGCAACAGAAAUUUAGUAAAUAUUCUGUGAACGUCUGAAACAUCCAUUCAUCAAUCCACUCACUCAAAAACAUUACCAUACACUUUGUCAUGCAUUGCUAGAUGUUCAAGCAUGAAAAUCAAAAAAUAGUGAAGAAUAAUUUAUUGUAAAUGUUAUUUUUCAGGGAAGAGAACACUAGAAAUAACUUCUUGAGAAAUUGGUUUGGGAAAAUAGUAUAUCCAAAAUUAGAGAGCGCCAUCUUGUGGGCAAAGUAUCUAAUGGGGUUGGGUGCUCCCCAGAGAACAUUAUGGCACGUGCUGAACUAGAGAUAAAAAAAGAUAGAUUUAUACAUACGUGCAGAUUGCUUGGACAAGUUUCAGCAGGAUGGCGAAAAUACUGAGGCUCAACAGGCGUAAAAUGACUUGAGUUACCAGGCUACAGUAGAACUAGGAUUUAAACCCAGGUAAGUUUGGAAUUUUUUUGCUUAUGGAAUAGAGAAAAAUGCUUAAAAAUUAGCAGAAGCCUGAAGCCUCAAAAUUACUCCUACUCUUUAACACAUGGACACAAAGAUGGUAAGAGUAGACACUGAGGACUCCAAAAGCGGGGAGGGGAAAGGGGAAUAAGGGAUGAAAUACUAACUACUGGGUACAAUGCUCACUACCAGGGUAAUAGGAUCAGCACCGCCCCAAACCUCAGCAUCACACAAUAUGCCCAUGCAACAAACCUGCACGUGUAGCCCCUACAUCUAAAAUAAACAUUGAUAUUUUUAAAAUUCUACCCUUUAGUAAUUCUGCUUGUAGAUAUUUGGAUUAUGGAAGUAAUUUGGGAUAUUAAAAUAUUUAUGUUCAAAGAUACUCACCAUAAAAAUGCCUAUAAUAUUGAGAACCUAGGUAUAUUUUACAUAUUUCACAUAAACUAAUGUUUAAAUAAAUUUUGGUAUUAGACCCAGCCAAUAGAAUCUUCUCAACCAUUAAAAAUGUUUUCAAAUGACAUCAAAUGAUAGAGAAAAUGGCUUAUAGUAAACCAUGAAUGCAAAGCAGAAUCCAAAAAUUAUAUAUAUCAAAUCUCAAUUGAAUGUUAAAAUUAGAUGCAGAAAUAUAUGUAUAUACAUAUACAAAUAAAGAAAAUGAGCCAGAUUUACAAGUUGCCUCUGGGUAUAGGUGAUUUUUUUUUAAAUUUACUUUUCUGAAUCUUCCAAAUUUCUGUCAUGAAUAUUUAUCAUUCGUAUGGUCAUAAAAAAUAAAUAUUAUUCAAACAGAAAACCAUUUUUGUAUUCUGACAGCACUUUUUUUGGUGUGAUUCUUAGAUCAGUGGUGCUAAAAGUCAGAAGGUUAUAAGGAAAUUACUUAUGUAUCAGACAAUCAAUUUAAAUGAACUAUUGAUUGUUAGGCAGACACAUCAUUAGAGUCACUUUUUUAGCCCUGGGAUGGGAUGAUUUUUCUCAGGUUUGGGUGUUGUGGCUUAGUUGCCAUGCACUAGGCAGUGAAGACCAGGAAGGAAACAAGGGCCUGCUGGAGAGGCCUGAAGUGCUGAUAUUGAACACAGACUUCCCUAUAAGCUGCCUGGACUGUGGUAAAGCAGGACACAUCUCACACACACACAAACACACACAUGGACACACACACUCAUGCUCCUCUAUCCUUUUUCUCUUCCAAAUCUCCUUUCUGCCCUUGCCUUUCCCUAUAAAUGGGUGUGUGUGGAGAGGAGGUGGAAAGACAGCAGGGGUCUGAAAGAUGCUAACUUGGACUUUGUCCUGAGCAAAGAAUUCCUUAAGAAUGACCUGGUAUAAAAACUUUGAAGAAAUCUCAUAAAUAAUAUGGGCAAAAAUGUGACAGCCAUGUGGCACAAUGCAAAAUCUUGUCACUAGUUUCAGCCCAGCUUUUCCUCAUGAUUGUUUUGAGUAGCAUGAAUUAUCCUCUAAAAAUGUUGGGUUUUAUUCCUUUUUCAUUUUGCACAAACGUACCUAAAAGGGUGAACAUAGUAUAAGCAAAUACACAAUGUAGGAACUAUGAGGAAUAAUUUUUUCUUAAUUCACUAUGUAUUUUUCUAACAGUUUUCUUAGAGCUUUUAAUCCUUAGAACCUAGGAGACAGAGGACUGUAUACUUGUAUUUACUUUUCUUUCUUUUUUUAUUCUGAGUUCUCUUUUUUAACAUUUAAGUUCAGGGGUGCAUGUGCAGGUUUGUUAUAUAGGUAAACUUGGGUCACAGGGGCUUGCUGUACACACUAUUUUGUCACCCAAGUAUUAAGCCUAGUACCCAUUAGUUAGUUUUCCUCCCACUUUCUGCCCUCUGGUAGGCCCUAGUGUGUGUCAUUCUCCACUUUGUGUCCAUGUGUUCACAUCAUUUAGCUCCCACUAAUAAGUGAGAAUAUAUGGUAUUUGGUUUUCUGUUCCUGCAUUAGUUUGCUAAAGAUAAUGGCCCCCAGCUCUAUCCAUUUUCCUGCGAAGGACAUGAUCUCAUUCUUUUUUAUGGCUGCAGAGUAUUCCAUGGUGUAUAUGCACCACAUUUUUUUUUAUCCAGUCUAUCAUUGAGGAGUAUGUAGGUUAACUCUAUGUCUCUGCUAUCAUGAAUAGUGCUACAAUGAUCAUACACAUGCCUAUGUCAUUAUAAUAGAACAAUUUCUAUUCCUUUGGGUAUACACCCAGUAAUGGGAUUGCUGGAUCAAAUGGUAUUUCUUUUUUAGGUCUUUGAGGAAUUGCCACACUGUCUUCUACAAUGGUUGAACUAAUUUACACUCCCACCAACAGUGUAUAAGUGUUCUUUCUUCAUAAUCUCACCAGCGUCUGUUAUUUUUUGACUUUUUGACACUGGCCAUUCUGACUGGUGUGAGAUGGUAUUUCAUUGUGGUUUUUAUUUGCAUUUCUUUAAUGAUCAG